rnacentral:lncRNA from 1 species
GGUUUUAGUAUCCCAUUUGUCCAACACCCUCAGGCAUCACUCUUCUCUCCAUUUUGGUUCCCACAUUGACUGCCCCAUGCCCCAACCCUAGGGCAGGCAAAAGGGGUGCAGGUCACUAGAGGCUUUCAGCUUCUUUGCUUUUCAUUUCCCUGGGGAGAAAACGGGUCCUGAAAAUAAUCUCUCACUUCCCCCUUUAAGGAGAAGAGUAGGGUGGGUAAUAACAAUAGCUAAAAGGCUAGAGUUUAGGGAGGUGUAGAGCGUAUACCCGGUAUAACAGUAUAGUUUAGAGAGGAUGUGGUAUACUGUGCUGAGACACGCAGGGGCUCUUACUAUCUGCAUUUCACAGAUAAGGAGAUGAGGCAAACAGAGAAGUUAAGUGACUUGCCCAGUCAUAUGGCUGAUUAAGUGGUGAGCUGGGUUUGAAUCCAAGGGCUGUGACUCCAGGGCUUCACCAAUGGGACCUGCCCAGUCAUAUGGCUGAUUAAGUGAUCAUUCUUGAGCACCAACUAUGGGCUGGGCUAUGAUCAGUGCUGGGGAGCUACAGGUGAGUUUAAAAGGUCUCCAGUCUCCAAGAACUGGCAACCUAGAGGAUAGAGCCAACAGGAAAGGCUGCAGCCCCGUGAUGUGAGUGCUACUGGGGAAGCCUGCUGGGUACCCUGGGAGGCAUGGCAAGUGGGCAUCCUCAGAGAAAAAGGAAACACUCACUCCCCAAGCUCGAGAUGUCCCCUCUUCUUGCAACUGCUUGUUCAGCCAGAUUCCCACUACCGGCAGAGCUUCCGGAAGUGACUUACCUCCCCUGGCGCCUCCGGCUGCCCUGAAGUGUGAUUUGCACGGGGAUGCUGAAGGGCUGCAUGAGG